UUGCUCUGGCAGCACAUAUACUAAAAUUGGAAGGAUACAGAGAAGAUUAGCACAGCCCCUGUGCAAGGAUGACACACAAAUUCGUGAAGCUUCCAUAUUUUUA
rnacentral:snRNA from 1 species